CCUGACGGAGCACGCCGCGUGAGUGAUGAAGGUCUUCGGAUCGUAAAACUCUGUUAUUAGGGAAGAACAUACGUGUAAGUAACUAUGCACGUCUUGACGGUACCUAAUCAGAAAGCCACGGCUAACUACGUGCCAGCAGCCGCGGUAAUACGUAGGUGGCAAGCGUUAUCCGGAAUUAUUGGGCGUAAAGCGCGCGUAGGCGGUUUUUUAAGUCUGAUGUGAAAGCCCACGGCUCAACCGUGGAGGGUCAUUGGAAACUGGAAAACUUGAGUGCAGAAGAGGAAAGUGGAAUUCCAUGUGUAGCGGUGAAAUGCGCAGAGAUAUGGAGGAACACCAGUGGCGAAGGCGACUUUCUGGUCUGUAACUGACGCUGAUGUGCGAAAGCGUGGGGAUCAAACAGGAUUAGAUACCCUGGUAGUCCACGCCGUAAACGAUGAGUGCUAAGUGUUAGGGGGUUUCCGCCCCUUAGUGCUGCAGCUAACGCAUUAAGCACUCCGCCUGGGGAGUACGACCGCAAGGUUGAAACUCAAAGAAAUUUUGACGGG
rnacentral:rRNA from 1 species